rnacentral:lncRNA from 1 species
CCACUUACUAUUACUGUAGCCCAGCUAGCCUAUACUCUGUUUUGUGGAUGAAUUGGUAGACUACUGUCUCUACCCAAUAUCUGAGGGUUUUAUGCCACCCAGUGGUCAAUGGUGUAAUUGCAACAUGUUUUACCGAGCGCAGAACACAAGCUUCAAGAAACGACGAAAUACCUACAAUUCCUGGAAUGCUACGAAACACCAGAAAUAGUUGGUGUCAUUCGUUUGGCUUUAUGUGCACGAACGUGAUUUCAGCAUUUUGGUAUAUCGCAUACUUUUGUGAUAUCAGACACAUGUGUAGAUAUUAAAAUGUAAACGCAAAUUUAAUUUCUACCGUGUUGCAUGAUGGGAAAAUAGUCGGACAGUGAUAUAACCAAGUAAAACUAAAAUUAAUCGCUUCUCCGCCGCUCUCUCCACAACUGUAUUCAUGAACGUGAUUAAACCCUGGUCGAUAUGAUGCCUUAUUAUCUGGGGCCAAAGUGGUAACCGUCAGUCAAAAACAUUUGCCCUAGAAUGACUACCCCUCCACCGAUGUGUACAACUCAUACUUACCUGGCAAGGGAGAUACCGUGAUCAAGAAGGCGGUUCACCCAGGGUGAGGCUCAGCCAUUGCACUCCGGCUGUGCUGACCCCUGCGAAUUUCCCAAAUGUGGAAAUCUCGAUUGCAUAAUUUAUGGUAGUGGGGGACUGCGUUCGCGCUCUCCCCUGAUCUUGGUGUCUAACAACAAUCAUUUUAACAUUUGUCACUGAUCAAAGGUUGAGCCUGAGAUGAGUUGAACUAUGUAGGGUAUGUCUGCAUUGGCUUUUACUUUGGCGUUCCUUCUUCAUUGCAUGAACGCUUUCAGAAUUACGGAUUUCAAAGCAAACUAGUCCUACUACUACUGUAGAUUCAUUUUCUCUUCGAAAUAGGCUGAAUGUCUGUGACUUCUUAUUGUAGCACUGGUUUUAAUGCCUAUAAAUUAGAGGUCGACCGAUUAGGAUUUUUCAACGCCGAUACCGAUACCGAUUAUUGGAGGACCAAAAAAAGCCGCUAUCGAUUAAUCAGCCGAUUAUUUAUUUAUUUGUAAUAAUGACAAUUACAACAAUACUGAAUGAAAACUUAUUUUAACUUAAUAUAAUACAUCAAUAAAAUCAAGUUCCUUGCUCAGAACAUAUGAAAGCUGGUGGUUCCUUUUAACAUGAGUCUUCAAUAUUCCCAGGUAAGAUGUUUUAGGUUGUAGUUAUUAUAGGAAUUAUAGGACUAUUUCUCUCUAUACGAUUUGUAUUUCAUAUACUUUUGACUAUUGGAUGUUCUUAUUGGCACUUUAGUAUUGCCAGUGUAACAGUAUAGCUUCUGUCCCUCUCCUCGCUCCUACCUGGGCUCGAACCAGGAACACAUCGACAACAGCCACCCUUGAAGCAGGGUUACCCAUGUAGUGGAAGGGAAAAAACUACUCCAAGUUUCAGAGCGAGUGACGUUUGAAACGCUAUUAGCGCGCACCCGGCUAACUAGCUAGCCAUUUCACAUCAGUUACUCCAGCCUAAUCUUGGGAGUUGACAGGCUUGAAGUCAUAAACAGCGCAAUGCAUUGCGAAGGGCUGCUGGCAAAAUGCACAAAAGUGCUAUUUUGAAUGAAUGCUUACGAGCCUGCUGGUGCCUACCAUCGCUCAGUCAGACUGCUCUAUCAAAUCAUAGACUUAAUUAUAACAUAAUAACACACAGAAACACGAGCCUUAGGUCAUUAAUAUGGUCGAAUCCGGCAACUAUCAUCUCAAAAACAAAACGUUAUUCCUGUUACAUUGCUGUCUUUGUUAGGAAGAAAUAGUCUUCACAGUUCGCAAUGAGCCAGGCGGCCCAAACUGCUGCAUAUUCCCUGACUCUGUUUGCAAGAGAAGUGACACAUUUUCCCUAGUUAAAAGAAAUUCAUGUUAGCAGGCAAUAUUAACUAAAUAUGCAGGUUUAAAAAUAUAUACUUGUGUAUUGAUUUUAAGAAAGGCAUUGAUGUUUAUGGUUGGAGCAACGUGUACCUAAGCGAUUAUAUGCAACGCAGGACAGGCUAGAUAAACUAGUAAUAUCAUCAACCAUGUGUAGUUAACUAGUGAUUAUGAUUGAUUCAUUGUUUUUAUAAGAUACGUUUAAUGUUAGCUAGCAACUUACCUUAGCUUCUUACUGCAUUCGCGUAACCUCGUGGAGUGCAAUGUAAAGCAGGUGAUUAGAGCGUUGGACUAGUUAACCGUAAGGUUGCAAGAUUGAAUCCUUGAGCUGACAAGGUCAAAAUCUGUCAUUCUGCCCCUGAACAAGGCAGUUAACCCACCGUUCCUAGGCCGUCAUUGAAAAUGAGAAUGUGUUCAUAACUGACUUGCCUAGUUAAAUAAAGGUCUAAAAAAAAUAUAUAUAUAUAAAAAAAUAAUAAUAAAAAAACAAACAAAAAAUCGGCCAAAUCGGCGUCCAAAAUUACCGAUUUCCGAUUGUUAUGAAAAAUUGAAAUCGGCCCUAAUUAAUCGGCCAUUCCGAUUAAUCGGUCGACCUCUACUAUAAAUGUGCUGAUAAUAUAUGGGACAAGGUGUACUUGUGAAUGCAGGGCCGGUCCUAGCCUUUUGGGGGCCUGUCAUGCCAAAUAAUGUCCCACUCUACAUCACAAUGGGAUUACAUGAGUUCUAACUUCUGUUGCUAGGGUUGUUGCUAGAACUUGCAACAUUAUGACCGGAUUACGUAAUGAACCAACGCGUUCGUUGCUAUGCUGGUUGCUCGGCUACCUCGUAGAGGUUGCAAAGGAAGGCGGACGCCGGCAGUUCUAUUUCACCUCAGAAGCGCUAGCUCAGUAGCAAGCGGUAAAUUGCCGCGUGCCGCUUAGUCCGGCCAGAGUGGUUCGCUUGUGGGCGUGCUGGCAUCAUAUGGGAGCAUAUAGCAACACCUUCAGUUGUGCGUCAAGAAUUGAGCAAGGCACAUUUGUAUGGAGGUCUGGUUAUGAAAAGGGUAAAUAGUUACAUAGUAAUAUGCUCUAAAACUCUCUGGUGACAAACUUUGCUGCCCCGUUUCCAAUCGUCCACAUGGCUGGGAGAACUUAUUCAAAUAAGUAAAUACAUUUCUAAAAUGUAAAAAAAAAAACCACUGUUUUAUUAGCUAACUAGCUACGGUGCAGGCUAACUCAAAUAGUCUGCUAAUGUAGCUAACAGUAGUUAGCUAUCUAGCCAACUUUACAUAUCAAAUUUAUUUAUAUAGCCCUUCUUACAUCAGCUGAUAUCUCAAAGUGCUGUACAGAAACCCAGCCUAAAACCCCAAACAGCAAGCAAUGCAGGUGUAGAAGCACGGUGGCUAGGAAAAACUCCCUAGAAAGGCCAAAACCUAGGAAGAAUACUGUACAUACUGUAUAGAUAGCUAGCUAAGUGAAUUAAAUAUCACCAGCUACCCAACUUCAUAUUAGCUAGCCAUCUUGAUCUAUUUAUCACUGUAAAAAAACUGUAAAUGCAUUUGUAGCUAGCUAGCUAACAGCCUCCAUGGCGAAUGGGUGAAAGGAUAGCAGCCCCAACUGUCAAAGUGAGAAAGUAGGCUAUUCUGGAUAGUGCAGGUACUUUUGUGUAGUUCCAGUCCCUAGAAGUGAGGAUGGAGAUAAUAGUAACAUAAUAUUCAGUGUGUUCUAAUUUGAGUAUAAUGAAGUAUAUUUCUUGUGAGGUUUUCUGUCCUCAGAUACAGAGAGCUGUGAAAGCCUGUCUGCAGAUGAAGAUGUCCCCAAAAGAGCAGUGGUUCUCAGUCCUGGGGACUCAAAGGGGUGCACAUUUUUGUUUUUGCCUUAGCACUGCACAGCUGAUUCAAAUGGUAAACUCAUCAUCAAGCUUCAAGUGGUAUUUAUGUAGUAAUUUGUGAUGCUAUCCUUGAUAUGAUCCUAUGUGUGCACAUGCAUCUAUCAAUCCAAUGUUAUCAUGAUUUGGUAUAAGGGAUAUUAUACUUUAGUAGUCCACAAUGACCUGGGGAUGUAAAAGUUUAAUAGUUAAAUUAUAUUCCAUCUUCCUACAGAUACCUUGUAACUGGAGAUUCCUGCUUACAGUUACCGUGUAUGGCACUGCAAGGUUGGGUGACCAAGGCCAUCUGGGACUGCCUCCUGGAGGAAUUCAGGCGUGUGAAGGCUACCUGUGUCCUGCAUAACUUCAUGAGGAUGGACACGAGGACCAGGAGGGGAUCUGUAGCUUGCCACUGUGUGUCAGAGGAGAAGUCUGCUGCUUUGCAGGAUGUUAAAAGGAUGGGGUCCAACAACGCAGCAAGAGAGGCAAUCCGUGUGUGGGAGAUCUUCACCUACUUCUUCAAAGAGGGUGUUGUUACCUGAGGUCAUCUUGAGUGACCUAGGUCGUGAACUCUGGAACAAGGUAAUAACAUUACAGGCUAUAUUCUGUCACCAACUAUAUAAAUAGCCAAGUUUAUUUACUGAUGUGCGAUUUUCUUGCUAUUGCAAACAGUCUUACUCUCUGCAGAGAUGAGGAACCCUCCAUGACACGAUACCAUCAGAAAUCCAUGAGAAAACAUAUUUUUACUUGUUUUCAUGCUGGGCACCUGGCACCAUUUCUCAGUCCCGAUUCCAGUCCUCAUCCUGGGUCCAGGCCUUCGAAGGUGUCCACACUCUACCCAGAGUUCAGCGUCCACUGCUUCUGGCGGAAAUACGUGAGAAAAGAUGAAGUUCUGCAUCUAGUGAAGUCUGAUUGCCCAAUAAUCUGCCCACUAAACCAAAAAAUUGAAUCAAUGUUUUCAUUUUAUUAGCUAAAUAAAACUUGUUUAAACAGAGAAAUUGUAGCAGAAAUCUGUCUUGUUUGCAUAGCAAUGAUGAAAAGAACGUAAUUUAGGCUGUAAUGAGCUCCAAAAUUCUAAUCAUUAGGUCAUCACACCGUUGAUAUAGCAACAGACUCUAAUAGUUUAUCGAAUCCCAUUGUGACAUAGAGGGGGAUACUAUUUGGUUGGGGGACAUUAUUUGGCAUGACAGGCCCUCAAGGCUUCAGCAUGCUUCAGUUCGACUGGCGCCUAGCGAACCAAACGAGCAUGCUCAUAUACUCCCUUAAAAGACAUUUGCUUGAAAAACGCAAAAAAAGUGGCAAUAGUACUGUUUGUCCAUUUUGGGAUGCUGUAGCUUCCUCAAAAUAGUCAGAAUUAAUUGAAGAUAACUCAUGAACUCGGUCAUUCAUUUUGACGUUUUGCAGAGGAGUUUUUAGUCUUAGUUAGAUGUAAAGAGAAGCUUAGCAAUUGUACUCUGCUCAAAAAAAUAAAGGGAACACUAAAAUAACACAUCCUAGAUCUGAAUGAAUGAAAUAAUCUUAUUAAAUACUUUUUUCUUUACAUAGUUGAAUGUGCUGACAACAAAAUCACAGAAAAAUAAUCAAUUGAAAUCCAAUUUAUCAACCCAUGCAGGUCUGGAUUUAGAGUCACACUAAAAAUUAAAGUGGAAAACCACACUACAGGCUGAUCCAACUUUGAUGUAAUGUCCUUAAAACAAGUCAAAAUGGGGCUCAGUAGUGUGUGUGGCCUCCACGUGCCUGUAUGACCGCCCUACAACGCCUGGGCAUGCUCCUGAUGAGGUGGCGGAUGGUCUCCUGAGGGAUCUCCUCCCAGACCUGGACUAAAGCAUCCGCCAACUCCUGGACAGUCUGUGGUGCAACGUGGCGUUGGUGGAUGGAGCGAGACAUGAUGUCCCAGAUGUGCUCAAUUGGAUUCAGGUCUGGAGAACGGGCGGGCCAGUCCAUAGCAUCAAUGCCUUCCUCUUGCUCUGGCAGUGCUCCUCCUGCUCCUACUUGCACAAAGGCGGAGGUAGCGGUCCUGCUGCUGGGUUGUUGCCCUCCUACGGCCUCCUCCACAUCUCCUGAUGUACUGGCCUGUCUCCUGGUAGCGCCUCCAUGCUCUGGACACUACGCUGACAGACACAGAAAACCUUCUUGCCACAGCUCGCAUUGAUGUGCCAUCCUGGAUGAGCAGCACUACCUGAGCCACUUGUGUGGGUGCUUGUGUGGGUCUCAUGCUACCACUAGAGUGAAAGCACCGCCAGCAUUCAAAAGUGACCAAAACAUCAGCCAGGAAGCAUAGGAACUGAGAAGUGGUCUGUGGUCACCACCUGCAGAACCACUCCUUUAUUGGGGGUGUCUUGCUAAUUGCCUAUAAUUUCCACCUGUUGUCUAUUCCAUUUGCACAACAGCAUGUGACAUUUAUUGUCAAUCAGUGUUGCUUCCUGAGUGGACAGUUUGAUUUCACAGAAGUGUGAUUGACUUGGAGUUACAUUGUGUUGUUUAAGUGUUCCCUUUAUUUUUUUGAGCAGUGUAUAAUACAUUUCAUGCAAUUCUAUUUAUUUUAGCAUGGGGCAGAGAGAAAAAAAUCUGCAGUUCUAAAGCAAAUUUCCUGCAAUUCUACACAUUUUGCAAAGACUGCAAAUAAUAUGCUAAUAAUAUCUGAGUGCGAGUGACUUAACAAAAUAAAUGGACUAACUAACAGGUCAAACAAUUGUUAGCUGACAUGGCUAAUUGAGUGACUGUCAGUGACUGACAAAGAUCUUGUGUAUUCUACUAUUUUAACUCUCAACAGUAAGUUGAGACCCCGACUGAGUUUCUAUUUUGUCCUUCCUGUGACAUUGGGUGCUAUAGGUGUCCUGGAGGGCAGGGUAGUUUUCCCCCAGUGAUGCAUUGGGCAGACUGCACCACCCUCUGGAAAGCCCUGCGGUACCGGGUGGUGCAGUUGCCGUACCAGGCAGUGAUACAACCCGACAGGUUGUGCUCAAUUGCGCAUCUGUAAAAGUUUGAGGGUUUUAGGGGCCUGGAGCCAGGAGCCAGCCCUGUGUGAAUGGAUUGUUUUGGAUCUCAGACAGAAUGGAUGGAUUGGGGUGUUUCAUUUGCUUAGAUAAUAAAAUAUAGAACAGUUUGUAAUUUAACC